GAUGAACGCUAGCGGCAGGCCUCAUACAUGCAAGUCGAGGGGCAACAGGACACUUCGGUGUUGCUGGCGACCGGCGAACGGGUGCGUAACACGUAUGUAAUCUACCUUAUACUAGGGCAUAGCUCUCGGAAACGAGGAUUAAUACCCUAUAUUAUCUCAUUAGCGCAUGCUGAUGAGAUGAAAGCUCCGGCGGUAUAAGAUGAGCAUGCGCCCCAUUAGCUAGUUGGUGAGGUAAUAGCUCACCAAGGCAACGAUGGGUAGGGGUUCUGAGAGGAAGAUCCCCCACACUGGCACUGAGACACGGGCCAGACUCCUACGGGAGGCAGCAGUAGGGAAUAUUGGUCAAUGGGCGCAAGCCUGAACCAGCCAUGCCGCGUGCAGGAUGAAGGCCCUCUGGGUCGUAAACUGCUUUUAUAUGGGAAUAAAAAAGUCCUUGCGAGGAUUCUUGAAGGUACCAUAAGAAUAAGCACCGGCUAACUCCGUGCCAGCAGCCGCAGUAAAAC
rnacentral:rRNA from 1 species